GUUACCCACAUGUGGGACUUCUGAGGGUGCGCUGCACCUCCAGAGGUACACCCUCCACACCUUCAAAGACAGGUUUACCUCUUAAUUCCACCUGUGUGCUUUUCUCCAAUGAAGGCCAACAUCUCAUGGUCCCUUUUGUGACUAGAACUCUCCAAGAGUAGAAAACACAGCUCUGACAGUAAAGAGCUUAAGUGUGCAAGGGAAACAGCUAGAAGUCAUUCCUGGUCUUUCUCAACUGAGCUCACCCACACAUCACACACCAACCAGCUACAUACACACAUGCGUGCGUGCACACAGACACGAGUUCACCCACACAUCACACCCCAACCAGCUACACACACACACACACACCGAGCUCACACACACACCACACCCCAACCAGCUACACACACCACCCCCAUCCCCGCACCCUCUGGGAACUCCCAGAAAUGGCCUCUUGUGACCCAGCCUCUGGCCCUCCACAUCAGUCUCCUGACUGGAAAGCACAGCCUGCUCCUGCCUGCCUGCUCCUUGGAUCUAACCCUGCUCUAUAGCCUCCCAACACUCUGCCAGGAACCUUCCCGCUCCCACCACUCCCCCACACACAGCUCCUUGCACAUUCCUCCCCCUCCAUACACUAGGAGGCACACACGUACACCUCACGCAAGCUUAACACUUGGUAAGCUCCAUCCUUCCCUGGCUCUCAUGCCACAGAAAAUCCAGGAUCUCAGCAAGAGACACCAUAAUCUCAAUCUGACUUGUAAUUCUAGUCAAUUUAGCAAUGGGGUCAUCAAUGCAGCAAAUCUGAACUUCUUACACAAUGAGGUGGCUAGUUGGUUUGCAACUAAAGAAAUCAUUCUCCAGGGAAGGUGGAGGCAGAGGCUGUUCCAGGCUGCAGGAAAUACUACCGAGCCUGCAGAUGGAGCUCAAUUGAUCACCUGCUAACCUGCACCAAGACCUAACAGCUCAGAGCCAAGGUUUAUUCAUCUGUCGAAUGGGAGGCGCAAAUGGAACCAGAAUAGCCACUGCACCAGAAGGCAUAUGGGCCUAUAAGCAAACCUAGAUCUGAAUACUGUCACUUAAUAAGUAACCCUGAGCUGAACUCCCUGAGGUAGUGAAAUGGCGGUAACACCCAACCUCUCAAGGUUGUUACAAAAAUUAAGUGAAGUGGUCAUUACAAUACCAGACACACAGGGUAUGUCUGAUAAUUAAAAAUGCCUAUUAAGACUUGGUGAUUUAUAUACUGCCAAACAUGGAGCUGAGCACCUUGUAUGCUUUUAUCUGCUCAUACUUGAUUUGUCUACCCCUCAAGAUUUUUCUAAACAUGUUUUUAUAUAAAAAACAUGAAUACAAGAAAACUCCUAGAAGCGUAUAUAUAAAAAUGCUUAUUAGCAGAAAAAUGGUUAUCUCCUGGUGUUAGGAAUAUGAGUUUUCUUUUUGCUUACCGGCUUUUUCCAAAUUUUUCCACAAACAUCACUUUCUGAGGUAUACUUGAUUUGGUUUUUCUUUUUAAAGCUGAAAUCCAUUAAAACACAAUGAAAUCAAGAUGCUGCUCACAGAUAACAACCCCCUACAUGAGCCAUUUCUUCUGGUGAUAAGAGCUAUUAAAAGCUGUGCCUUCCCUGAGGGAGCUGGCAUGUGCUUAUUUUAAUAAGAAUUAGCUGACUUAGCCCCUUCUUCACUUUGCCACCAGGGAGUACAGAGCCAAAUUUUAGUUC
rnacentral:lncRNA from 1 species